rnacentral:lncRNA from 1 species
CCGCCUCCUGGGGAGACCCUGGGGAGCCGCCCUCUCCGCGCCUCCAGGGCCGGGGCCCAAGAAGUGACCCUGCGCAGUGGUGGCCAAAGGUAUCCUGAGGAGUCCAGCUCAUUAGGCCCGCAGCCUGGCAGGGAUGCGCGCAGAGGCCCUGGAGGCGGACGGACCCGGGUGACAACAGCGCGAUCGCCUGUGCCGCGCGGGUUCCGGGGCGCAAGCCGCUCAGGUGCUGCGCGGGCGUUGCGUCCACCACCGGCUCAGACGGAACAAGCGCCCUCGGGGAAAUGGCGACGCGAGGGGAGCCACGAGCUGUGGGCGCUUGUUCAACAAAUUGCGAGGCCGUGCGUUCCUCCCGGAGGAGUCAUAAGUCGAUACCUUGAGCCCCGAGUUUGGCGAAAGCAAACGGUUCUUCCCGGAGCACCCUUGAACAUAAGUCACAUGAACACGCGUCAGUGUUCUUCAGGAGAAAUACCUAGAGGUCACUGCAAAUUGUCCUUCAAUGUCCACUUCCAGGACAAGGCACAAGCUACUUGCCUGCCUACAUUGUGUCACUGACAGAAAAUAUCAAACUUUUAAAGUUUCAGCUAAUCUGACAGGGGAGAAAUGGGUUCUUAUUGUUAUGAUUUGCAUUUCCCAGUCUCUGCAGACACAAAUACCUUUCUGUAUGGAUAACUAUUUUUGUGUUGGUGGCAGCCAGCAUCCAAGAUGCCCCUAUCCCGUCGUCUGCUGCUCACACCCACACUGUACCAGGAUCGGUCUGUGUGACCAACAGCUUACGGCAAAGGGGUGGUGUAUUUCUUCCAGGACUAGGUUAUAAGAGGCUGUGGCUUUGCUCUUGCGGCUCUCUCCCUGUCUCAUCACUUGCUCUGGGGAAGCCAAUUUCAACAUCAUGAGGGAGGGCCUUGUGGCCAGGAACUGAAGCCUCCAGCCAGCGGCCGAGGACCAACUUGGCGUGAGUCUUCUAGACCCGGGCAAGCCUCAUGACUGCAGCUGCUGCCCGUGGUUCAGAUGCAGCCCCCGAGAGACCCUGAGCCAGAACCACCCGCUAAACCGCUCCCACGUUCCUGAUCCUCGGACACUCAGAUAACAGGUGUCUGUUGUUUGAAGCCUCUUGUUAUACAUAUGGCAACAGAUAGUGAAUACGUUGUCUUCUUAUCUGCUUGUGUGUUUUUAGGAGCUUUGUACACCUUUUGGAUAUUAAUAAUUUCUUAUAUAAAAUGAGAAUUUUUCACAAAUGUAUCCUUCACCGUUU